rnacentral:piRNA from 1 species
UCAGAAAUGAAGUGGCCGGCAAUUGGA